rnacentral:rRNA from 1 species
UCCGUAGGUGAACCUGCGGAGGGAUCAUUACAGAGUUGCAAAACUCCCUAAACCAUUGUGAACGUUACCCUUAACCGUUGCUUCGGCGGGCGGCGCCAUGCCGCCCCUCGGCCCUUCCCGGGCGCCCGCCGGAGGAUACCCAACUCUUGAUAUUUUAUGGCCACUCUGAGUCUUCUGUACUGAAUAAGUCAAAACUUUCAACAACGGAUCUCUUGGUUCUGGCAUCGAUGAAGAACGCAGCGAAAUGCGAUAAGUAAUGUGAAUUGCAGAAUUCAGUGAAUCAUCGAAUCUUUGAACGCACAUUGCGCCCGCCAGUAUUCUGGCGGGCAUGCCUGUUCGAGCGUCAUUUCAACCAUCAAGCCCCCGGCUUGUGUUGGGGACCUGCGGCUGCCCGCAGGCCCUGAAAAACAGUGGCGGGCUCGCUGUCACACCGAGCGUAGUAGCAUCAUUCUCGCUCAGGGCGUGCUGCGGGUUCCGGCCGUUAAACGACCUUCAUAACCCAAGGUUGACCUCGGAUCAGGUAGGAAGACCCGCUGAACUUAAGCAUAUCAAUAAGCGGAGGA